UACGGAGGGUGCGAACGUUAAUCGGAAUUACUGGGCGUAAAGCGCGCGUAGGCGGUUUGUCAAGUCAGGUGUGAAAGCCCUGGGCUCAACCCGGGAAUUGCAUUUGAAACUGGCAGGCUAGAGUGCAGUAGAGGGAGGUGGAAUUUCAGGUGUAGCGGUGAAAUGCGUAGAUAUCUGAAGGAACACCAGUGGCGAAGGCGGCCUCCUGGACUGACACUGACGCUGAGGUGCGAAAGCGUGGGGAGCAAACAGG
rnacentral:misc_RNA from 1 species